ACGGGAGCAGCAGGCGCGAAACCUCCGCAAUGCGGGAAACCGUGACGGGGCCACCCCGAGUGCCACCCGCUAAGGGUGGCUUUUCCCCAGUCUAAACAGCUGGGGGAAAUAAGGGGAGGGCAAGCCUGGUGUCAGCCGCCGCGGUAAUACCAGCUCCCCGAGUGGUGGGGACGAUUAUUGGGCCUAAAGCGCCCGUAGCCGGCCUGGUAAGUCCUCCGUUAAACCCGGCGGUUAACCGUUGGAUUGCGGGGGAUACUGCUAGGCUAGGGGAUGGGAGAGGCCGGCGGUACUCCCGGGGUAGGGGUAAAAUCUUCUGAUCCCAAGAGGACCACCGGUGGCGAAGGCUGCUGGCUAGAACACGCCUGACGGUGAGGGACGAAAGCUAGGGGAGCGAACCGGAUUAGAUACCCGGGUAGUCCUAGCCGUAAACGAUGCAGGCUAAGUGUUGGAGCGGUCAUGGACCGCUCCAGUGCCGUAGGGAAGCCGUUAAGCCUGCCGCCUGGGGAGUACGGCCGCAAGGCUGAAACUUAAAGGAAUUGGCGGGGGAGG
rnacentral:rRNA from 1 species